rnacentral:rRNA from 1 species
AUACGGAGGGUGCGAGCGUUAAUCGGAAUUACUGGGCGUAACGCGUACGUAGGCGGUUGGUUAAGUUAGAUGUGAAAGCCCCGGGCUUAACCUGGGAACUGCAUUUAAAACUGGCGAACUAGAGUUGAGUAGAGGGGAGUGGAAUUUCAGGUGUAGCGGUGAAAUGCGUAGAGAUCUGAAGGAACACCAGUGGCGAAGGCGACUCCCUGGACUCGAACUGACGCUGAGGUACGAAAGCGUGGGUAGCAAACGGGAUUAGAAACCCCAGUAGUCC